UGGGGAAUAUUGGACAAUGGGCGAAAGCCUGAUCCAGCCAUGCCGCGUGUGUGAAGAAGGUCUUCGGAUUGUAAAGCACUUUAAGUUGGGAGGAAGGGCAUUAACCUAAUACGUUAGUGUUUUGACGUUACCGACAGAAUAAGCACCGGCUAACUCUGUGCCAGCAGCCGCGGUAAUACAGAGGGUGCAAGCGUUAAUCGGAAUUACUGGGCGUAAAGCGCGCGUAGGUGGUUUGUUAAGUUGGAUGUGAAAUCCCCGGGCUCAACCUGGGAACUGCAUUCAAAGCUGACUGACUAGAGUAUGGUAGAGGGUGGUGGAAUUUCCUGUGUAGCGGUGAAAUGCGUAGAUAUAGGAAGGAACACCAGUGGCGAAGGCGACCACCUGGACUAAUACUGACACUGAGGUGCGAAAGCGUGGGGAGCAAACA
rnacentral:rRNA from 1 species